rnacentral:rRNA from 1 species
GCCUGAUGCAGCAACGCCGCGUGCGGGAUGACGGCCUUCGGGUUGUAAACCGCUUUUAGUAGGGAAGAAGGGCUUCGGCUUGACGGUACCUGCAGAAAAAGGACCGGCUAACUACGUGCCAGCAGCCGCGGUAAUACGUAGGGUCCGAGCGUUGUCCGGAAUUAUUGGGCGUAAAGAGCUCGUAGGCGGUUUGUCGCGUCUGCUGUGAAAACUGGAGGCUCAACCUCCAGCCUGCAGUGGGUACGGGCAGACUAGAGUGCGGUAGGGGAGAAUGGAAUUCCUGGUGUAGCGGUGGAAUGCGCAGAUAUCAAGAGGAACACCGAUGGCGAAGGCAGUUCUCUGGGCCGUAACUGACGCUGAGGAGCGAAAGCGUGGGGAGCGAACAGGAUUAGAUACCCUGGUAGUCCACGCCGUAGACGUUGGGCGCUAGAUGUGGGGACCUUUCCACGGUUUCCGUGUCGUAGCUAACGCAUUAAGCGCCCCGCCUGGGGAGUACGGCCGCAAGGCUAAAACUCAAAGGAAUUGACGGGGGCCCGCACAAGCGGCGGAGCAUGCGGAUUAAUUCGAUGCAACGCGAAGAACCUUACCAAGGCUUGACAUAACCGAGAACGCCCUAGAAAUAGGGAACUCUUUG